UGUGUUGUCACAGUGCAUUUCAACGUUGUGUAAAAUAGCAAGAAUUGUGGAGACAGUGUAGACUUCUGGUGUAAAACUCUGAAUAUUAUUGGAGGAGCCUGUUAGGCUGUUUAGCUGUCUGCCAAGCUGGUGUUAAAUAAAGUCAUCUUCUUAUCUAGGGUUUCAACAUUAUUGAGACAAUGUUGAGAAAGUCAACAUUGUAGAAGGAAAGUAUAAAACAUUCAUUUUAAGGCCAUUUUGGGAAAUCUUUGGAAGGUGAGGGAAAUGUAUGAAACAGUUUGCUGAAAUCUUCAUUUUUGACACAAAUUGAAAAGCAACUGAGUUGUUAAUUGCCAAAAAAGCAUGAGGUUAUUGAUUACAUAUCCAGCUAAUCACCAUCCAACAGUAACACUUUUCCCCCAGAGUCUAAUGUAACACUAUGGUUUGUACAGUAGCUGCAGUUGCUCCGGCAGCAGAAUGGCACAGCUCUAGCCUCUUUUGGCUCUUGCCCACGCUCUGACGGCUUGGGUGGCCGGCCUGCUCCUGUGGUUAGAGGUUUCAGACGUUUCCAAACCCUCGCUGAACCACACUGGCCUCUGGUGAGCCACAGCGUCCGUGAGGUGUAGAGUGACAACACACAGGCUGCCCUCAGCGCCCAGUGGUCGAGGAGAGAGCCACUCACACACACACACACAAACACACAGAGAAUGACAUCAAAUUUAUUCAUGCACAUCAACUUCUCUUUCUCUCUAUUUUUUAAGUGCACAUACAGUGGUAAAAACUGUGUAUUCACAUGAUCAAAGUGGAAAAAAAAUUAUAGAAAAUUAGUUUGUUUUUGUUAUGUUGAAGUUUUUGUGCGCAGUUUCUGAGCAUAACGUCCAAGAAUCAGAUCCAAAUAUCUCUCUCUUUUGCUCUCUCUCUCUCUUUCUGUCUGUCUGCUACCCCCAAUUACACUGAAAAAAAUGAACUUGGCCCUUAGUAAAUUUUACAUAAUAAAAUUGUGCAUGUUUUUCUCAAUUUAAAUGUGUUUUUGCUUCAACCAAAUAAUAAUAAGCAAUGCUGAAAACCGGUAAGCUAAGCAUAUGAAACAUGCUUAAAGUGAAUUAGAAAUAAUUAUGUUGUGUCAAGGGGUAGAAACCGCGCAUGCACAACCUUUUCCCCAGCUGACGGCAGCCAUUUUCGACACCUCGUCUCUGAGAAGAUUUGGCUGACCUGAGAAAAUUCUGUCCUCUUACAUUCACAAGGUUAAGGCUUAACAAGGUUGUUGAGUGCCAUGUUUUAAAGGAUUCUCUGGCAUGUUCUAAGUCUCUGGCGAAGAAUGUCCACCAUAAAAGAGAAGCCAUCAUAAAAGCUCUUUGUCCGCACCUGAAUGAUGAUGGAUUUCUUAACAAGGAGUACAGGGACAUUCAUGGUGAAAACCUAUUGAGAGACCAGCACAGCACUGAAAUGGGCAUUUAUGUCAUCAGAAGAGGGUGGAGCUCUUGGAGAAUAUGAAGACGUUGAUGCUGAUGGAAACAUUAUUGUAGGAAACAUCAAAUCAGUUGCACCAGACUGCAGUAAUGCUUGGAGUAAUCUGUGCACUGAAUAUGGCUCAUCACAGUGGGCAGAAAUGCUGCUAUGAAUUUGUACAUUGCUCAUGCCAAAGGAUGGUGCAAAGCUCUCCCCUAAUAUUCUUGGUUUGGAGAACAAAAUCUUGGGAUAGUCAAAGUAGGUUGUCCAUUCUGGAAAUAUAUGGAACUUUUCACACUAGCUUCUACUUUGAUUGAAAAGCAAUGGACUUUUGAACAACGCUUAAAUCACAUGAAACAAGAAUGGCUGUAUUUGUCAGCAUCUCUUAAAAUUCAGUGACAUUUCAAUGAUUUUCUAUACAACAUGUCAAGAUCCUGGUCAUGUUUAAGAACAAUUUGUCUUAAAACAGCAUGCAGUUAAAAGUCUUUUUUGCUAAAACUGUACAAAGUAGCCUUUUGAACAAUUUGAGCUCUAUAAAUUUUCACCCUAAAUUUGCAAAGUCUAACAAGCACAAUAAGGUUGUGCUAACUAGAGGCAGUGCUUUGGCAAGAAGGUUGUACUCUGUAGGCACUAUUUCUGGGGCAUUUUGAUCAUUGUUGACAAUUGGAUAUUGUAUAAAGUCAUAUAACAUUAAUAUUGUCUUAUUGUGCUGUUCUGUUUUAAAUAUCUGCUGUUGUAAAGUUGCACUUAAGAUUGGUGUUAUACAUAAUUACUGAAUGUUACUUCAUUGUUUCACAAAUUCUGGGCCAUUACUUAAGACUUAAUUAAUUGUGAUUAAAGGCACACACAUUUAGGUGAAUGUGUUUAUAAUUGCAGUGUUCUGUUUGAAGCUUAUUGUUGUAUGUAAAGUUGCAUUUUAGCUUGUGUUGCCUGCAAGACAAGCAGUAAUGUAUUGAUACCUGUGCACUUUCAGAGAAGUAUUUAGUCUAUUUUUAAUACUCUGCUUUAUUUUGUCUACAGUCUUGUUUUGUUACUUAGUAUUCAGCGUUUUUCUAUAGUGGUAAAGCAAAUGUGUGUUUUAGUUGAUCCUAACAUGCAUGUGCAUUUGAUGUACCUUAAUAAAGUCACUGUAAUUUUU